AUGCCCAGCCGCUGGAUGCGGCAUCCUCUGGACGUACCGCUUCGUCCUCAUGCCUCCUCUCGUGCAUUGACCAACAGCCCGUGUCCAUGGUGGAUCGCGCUUGCCGCCGCCCGCGCCCUUGCCGCCGGUUGCCGCCCCUCGCCGGUCCCCGCCCUUGCCGCCGGUUGCCGCCCCUCGCCGCCGGUUGCCGCCCCUCGCCGUCGUCGUCUCCGGUGUUUCUCGCCGACUCUGGAGCCAUGCAUGGAUGUAGCAAAAAACUUCCCUAGUCGUAGCAAAACGCGAAGGCGGUUGCAACAAAAAAUGUCACUUCCAGCACAAUUAAAUGAUAGUUCCAGCAAAAAAAGCUCAGCAGCAGAAAACCAUGGCUCAAAGCCAACAGCAGUAGUAGCAAAUCUUUAUUUUAAUUCCAGCAAAACCAAAAACAGUGGAAGCAAAAAUGCAAAAAAAGGAGCCUUUGUGGAAGGAUGUUCUAGCAAAAUCAAAGACACCAGUGGUAGCAAAAAUUAA
rnacentral:rRNA from 1 species